UUAAGCUUUGCUUUAAAUGAAUCUGUGUGUGUUCUGUUUUGGAUCACUUCCUGAAGCCAAUACUCAUCGACCUCAAAGGACCUCUCUGAGAUCUAAAACGAUGUCUACCCAUGGAGAUAACAUUUAGGGAGACUACAACUGUGUUGUAAAAUUCUUGUCUAAAAUCCACUUCUCUUUAAAAACAAUCAUUGUUAUCUUUCAGGAAACAAAUCACACGCAAUUAUGUAACUGUGUUUAUAUUUUCUGUUAGAAGUCUUAGAGAACACAAUCAAGGUGAUCUAUGCCCCGUGUGUGCUUCUCAGAUUAGCAACAUCACCUGGGAGUGUGUUAGAGAUGCAGAGUCCCAGGCCCCACCACAGGCCUCCUGGAUCAGAAUCUGCAUUUUCACCAGAUCCCCAGUCCUCUAUGGAGAGCGAGAUUCAGAAACAUCCAGAAAGGGCAAGUCAGGUCUGUUGAAUGAAGUCUGCGAUCAUUGGCUAAUUUAAAACAAAACAGCCCUACAGCCCAACCCACAUGCAAUCACCCUGCUGCCUUCUGCAGAUGAGUUUUCUAUCAGAGCUGCUAUCUGAGGACAUUUAUCCUCUGCUUCCUGGGCUUAGAGCACAGGUAGAUUUAAAGCUCUCUUUCGUAUGAUUUGUCACGAAGUAACAAUAACUGAUAGAUGAUCUCCUUCCUCCUGGAGAUGGAGCGAGCUAAUGAGAUUUGACGACUGCCUCUGGUUACAGACCCAGGACUAAUGAAUGCACUAGUGACUCCACUGACCCCAGUCAACUGAUUUUUAUUGACAGCCUGUUGACAUAACAAACUAAGGGUUGGUGAUUUAAGCUGUUUCUAAGCCCUUAAAUAAAUAAGGCCUUUUCUAAUAGUA